rnacentral:rRNA from 1 species
CGCCCGUCGCUCCUACCGAUUGGGUGUGCUGGUGAAGUGUUCGGAUCGACGGUUGUCGGUGGUUUCCGCUGACUUCCGCUGAGAAGUUCAUUAAACCCUCCCACCUAGAGGAAGGAGAAGUCGUAACAAGGUUUCC